UAGGGAAUAUUGCAAAAUGGGCGAAAGCCCGAUGCAGCAACGCCGCGUGGGCGAUGAAGGCCUUCGGGUCGUAAAGCCCUUUUUGAGGGGAUGAGGAAGGACAGUACCCUCAGAAUAAGCCUCGGCUAACUACGUGCCAGCAGCCGCGGUAAAACGUAGGAGGCGAGCGUUAUCCGGAUUUACUGGGCGUAAAGCGCGUGCAGGCGGAUUGGAGAGUUGGAUGUGAAAGCUCCCGGCUUAACUGGGAGAGGUCGUUCAAUACUUCCAGUCUUGAGUGCAGUAGAGGGAAUUGGAAUUCCGGGUGUAGUGGUGAAAUGCGUAGAUAUCCGGAGGAACACCAGUGGCGAAAGCGGCUUCCUGGACUGUAACUGACGCUCAGACGCGA
rnacentral:rRNA from 1 species